AACGAACGCUGGCGGCAUGCCUAACACAUGCAAGUCGAACGAGACCUUCGGGUCUAGUGGCGCACGGGUGCGUAACGCGUGGGAACCUGCCCUUAGGUUCGGAAUAACUCCCCGAAAGGGGUGCUAAUACCGGAUAAUGUCUUCGGACCAAAGAUUUAUCGCCUUUGGAUGGGCCCGCGUUGGAUUAGCUAGUUGGGAGGGUAAAAGCCUACCAAGGCGACGAUCCAUAGCUGGUCUGAGAGGAUGAUCAGCCACACUGGGACUGAGACACGGCCCAGACUCCUACGGGAGGCAGCAGUGGGGAAUAUUGGACAAUGGGCGAAAGGCUGAUCCAGCAAUGCCGCGUGAGUGAUGAAGGCCUUAGGGUUGUAAAGCUCUUUUACCCGGGAUGAUAAUGACAGUACCGGGAGAAUAAGCCCCGGCUAACUCCGUG
rnacentral:rRNA from 1 species